GCGCCAGGCGCUGGGGGCUACCGCCAACGGGCGUGCCCGGCGCGGGGCGGCAGGAAGCAGUCCUUCCGGACACAACCGCCAGAGUAAUCAAAACCUAUUGGAGAUUCAGUUCACCACUGGAGCCUACCCAAACCUCCUUUCCUUUGUCUACCCCCCAACUCUGUGCAGCCUCUCUUACCCUUACAUCUCAGGUGAAGAGGAAAUCAGAGAAGGAGCAGCAACUUGCUGGUGCUGGUGGACUCAUUGCCAGUUUCAUCGUGCAUCUUAAGGCUACUAAAAACCUGACAAACAAAUCUGAAAAGCAAGCUAUGCAAGGAGAAGAUCAGUCUGAUCUCAGCUAUGAAAUGGAAUCUGAUGUGAUAGAUGUGUGCAAGGGUGUGACUAAAAUAUGUCAUUACAUAAUUGCUCUGCCACCUGAUCUUACAGGACCAGAAACACAAACUCCAGAAUUUGUUACCUUUGAAGAGGAGUCACCUAAAGUGCAAGUGGUAAGAAAUUUUUAAAAAGGAUUUAUCAUUAAUAGAAAGCAUUUAGUUAAGAUUUAUAAAUAUCAAUAAAAUCCUAAUUUAACACAGCAUUUAUGGGAUUUUUUGUUUGUUUCCUUCCAAUGUUUCUCAAUGUACAGUUGACCCCUGAGCAACCCCAAAAUUAAGGGCUUCCAUGCCAUCAAAAAUCCACAUGUGGUUUAUGGUCUUUCCUCUAUAUCUGCAAUUCCACAGCCAUGUAUUCAACCAACCAUGGAUAGUGUUGUAUGUAGUACUUAUUUACUGAAAAAGAAAAUUGCGUAUAAGUGGACCUGUGCAGUUCAAACCCUUGUCAUUCAAGAGUCAGCUGUAUAGAGUAUUAAGAUAACGUAACCACAUCUUGCUUUUACAUCUAGUCAUUAUAUUUAUUUUAAGGACUUCAUUAUAUACCAUUGAAUUUAUAUACCAAAUUUAUUUAAUCAUUCAGUUAUUUUUGGAUUAUUUAGAUUGCCACCAAUUUUCAGGUGUUAAAAGUAAAACUGAUAUAAUGACCUUUUGAAGUAUGUAUUUUUUAACAAUUCAAAUAAUUACUUUGAAUAUAUAUAAUUCUGAUUAUGGUUACAGAAUAUAUAAUUGUUUUAAGAUUAUUUGUAUUGUCAAAUUACCUACCAGAAGAAUUCUACCAAAUUAAAACCUGUAUUUUCAUUGCAUUGGAUUUUAUUUCUUUUUCUUAUUCCUGCUAGGACUGUAAAAUAAAACCUCAUUUUUGUUUUAGUAUGUUUUCAAUUGCUUGGACAUUUUUCUUAUAUGACAUAUAUCUCCUACUUACUCCAUUUCUUUACCCUUAUUAUUCAAAAUUUUCUAAUUUUAAACUACCUGCUCAUUUUUAUAAAAUAUGAAAAAUUUAGAAAAACAUAUAAUUGUUUUAACCAUUAAUAAUAUUUGUAUAUUUUCUUCCAGGGUUUCUUCUACUCAUAUUAUACUUACAUAAUUCUGACAUAUCACACACAUACAUAUAUAUAUAUAACUUGAUCAUAUGAACAUAUCAUAAUUUACUUGAUAUAUUUUCCAUUGUUGCAUUCAAAUUACUUCAAGUCAAGAACAAUAACAUAUAGUAUAAAUCUCAGAUUGUAUAACAAUUUAUGGACUAUGGCAGUGAAAACAUUUGGAUCUUCACAAUCUUUGAUCAAAUCAAUGAUCAUAAUUAUCCACACACCAAGUGCAUGAAAACCACAUGAAGCUAUGCAUCUUCAGCCUCCUUCACUCCCACCUUCAAAAUUAUUCUUAUCUGCAAGCAACCGCAUUUCCUCCCCUCCAGGUACAGAGGAGGGCAAGUUUCUCCUCUUUUUUAAUAUGCAAUUUUAUCUCUUUUUUUCAUGACUCUAAAACAAAGGUUGAGAAUUUUUUUUCUUUUUUCUUUUCCUGCAUAUGUGGAAAUACAAUAGAAUAAUUAAUAAAAACACCAUCCAUUUCUAAUUUUCCCUAAAAUUUAUUUUCCCAAGUGUUUGGUGUCAAAUGAAAAUAGGAUAAAUCAUUAAUAACACAUGCUAUCAAGAAGUUUUUUUACAAAUUGUAUAAUAACUAGUCAUUUCAGAUGUCAUCAAAGUAAAUAAACUUUCAAUUUUAGUCAUAUAUUAGUUUUAUAAACUUAAUUAUACAUUCCUAUCACACUAUAUUGUUAUGGAGCCCAUCAUGCCAGUCAACAUUCAUUUUCUUAAAAUAUUUUCUUUUAGAAUUUACCAACAUAUUAAGUGUCCUUAUAAUUCUGAGGCAACCUGCAUACAUUAAUUUUCAGCUGUCAAAGGCUUUGAAUCAAUAGAAAUGUUUCAUGUAAUACUAUGGAGAGUGCUACAGAAUUAGGCUAUGUUACUAUAGGUAAUUAUCAGGCAAGGUAAAUCAAAAGACUUAUUGUUGGCAACAUAGUCUAUGUUUAAAUUAUUUUGCGCUUUGCUUUUGCUAGGUACAUUUGAAAUUUUCAGAACAAACCUUUGUCAGUGCAAAGGUUUUAACUUAAGUUCUUAUCAGUGUUUACUGGCAAUACCAGGAAUUCCAACAAUAAUGAUAAAACAAAUGUUUUACUGAAAUGCCAUUCAAAUUAGAAAUUUUGGAAAUUAGGUCCUGAGCUGCAUGUUCCAAGAAAAUAUAGUGUCAAAGAUAAACAAAGCCAGACAGUUUUUAAAAGUUGUAAAGACAGAUUUAAUUUGGUAGUAACUAUUGUAAUAGGGGAAAGACUUAAAUGUAAACUGAGCUCAACUCUACCCAAAAAAAAAAAAAAA
rnacentral:lncRNA from 9 species